rnacentral:rRNA from 1 species
UGGGGAAUAUUGCACAAUGGGGGAAACCCUGAUGCAGCGACGCCGCGUGAACGAAGAAGGUAUUCGUAUCGUAAAGUUCUGUCCUAUGGGAAGAUAAUGACAGUACCAUAGAAGAAGCUCCGGCUAAAUACGUGCCAGCAGCCGCGGUAAUACGUAUGGAGCGAGCGUUGUCCGGAAUUAUUGGGCGUAAAGGGUACGCAGGCGGUUUAAUAAGUCGAAUGUUAAAGAUCGGGGCUCAACCCCGCAAAGCAUUGGAAACUGAUAAACUUGAGUAGUGGAGAGGAAAGUGGAAUUCCUAGUGUAGUGGUGAAAUACGUAGAUAUUAGGAGGAAUACCAGUAGCGAAGGCGACUUUCUGGACACAAACUGACGCUGAGGUACGAAAGCGUGGGGAGCAAACAGG